UCCGGUGGCUAUAGCGAAGGAGAAAUACCCGAUCCCAUCUCGAACUCGGAAGUUAAGCCCUUCAGCGCCGAUGAUACUGUCCCGGUAGCGGGAUGGAAAAGUAGGUCGUCGCCGGGG
rnacentral:rRNA from 1 species